rnacentral:rRNA from 1 species
UACGUAGGGUGCGAGCGUUAAUCGGAAUUACUGGGACGUAAAGUGUGCGCAGGCGGCUCUGCAAGUCGAGUGUGAAAUCCCCGAGCUUAACUUGGGAAUUGCGCUACGAAACUAUGGAGCUGGAGUGAUGGCAGAGGAAGGUGGAAUUCCACGUGUAGCGGUGAAAUGCGUAGAUAUGAUGGAGGAACACCGAUGGCGAAGGCAGCCUUCUGGGCCAACACUGACGCUCAUGCACGAAAGCGUGGGGAGCAAACAGG